UGCCAGCAGCCGCGGUAAUACGAAGGGGGCUAGCGUUGUUCGGAAUUACUGGGCGUAAAGCGCGUGUAGGCGGGCAAUCAAGCCAGAGGUGAAAUCCCGGAGCUCAACUCCGGAACUGCCUUUGGAACUGAUAGCCUAGAGUAUCGGAGGGGAUGGUGGAAUUCCUAGUGUAGAGGUGAAAUUCGUAGAUAUUAGGAGGAACACCGGUGGCGAAGGCGACCAUCUGGACGAUUACUGACGCUGAGACGCGAAAGCGUGGGGAGCAAACAGGAUUAGAUA
rnacentral:rRNA from 1 species